rnacentral:lncRNA from 1 species
GUAUAUCCGCACGUUGAGAAUGUGUGGCAUAUCCUUUAAACGAUAAAGAUGCUUCUCAAUAAAUAAAUCUUGUCUUAAUGAAUUCAUCAACUUAUCGAAGUCAACCUUUCCCCAUGGAUAAUAUCCAUAUUGGUCAUCCUCGGCCAUCUUGAAUUCUAAGAAGCUAACAGAUGCAUCACCAGAUUCUGAUGACAACUAGCUAUGACUAAAAAACAAUAUGGCCAUAUGUUGCACAUCCUGAAUAUUGUCAAAUUUUUCAUUUGAAAAUAUUCAACCAAUGUUUUUAUUGAAAGUCGAUUUUUCAUCUUUGAAAAAUACUUUGUCAAUAACAAAGAAGGGAUCUGAAAUGGAAUAUUGAAAGUCUUCAUUGUUGGAGGUGCAAUUCAAAUAGCCGAUAAGAGCAAAUUCAAAUAACUUAAAUUUGAGAAAUGUUCCCUUCACACAGAUAUGUAGAUCACUUGGAUUAUCUUGUACCAACUCAAGCAUCAGCAAGCAUUUGAUUAUUUGUCCUUGAAAAUUUAUUUGGGCAUAUCAACAGAUACCCCAAAGCAUGUCUUCUUAAAUAAAUUGAGCACUUUUUUAUCUAUGAAAUUCUUAAUAUCAGUAGAAAAUUUAAGGUUACUCAAACUAUCAAACUUUACAGGAUGAG